UAAAGGGAGAUGAAGAAGCUGACCCUUACCGUAAGUUUCCAAGGGAAAUUUACCUCAGGUCUCCUUAAAAAGAAUGAAUAAAAAGUCUUCAGACAAGGUUCCCCGGUUUAGGACAGUUCACUCGCCUGACUGUCGGGAUUGGGUUAAUAUUCCAUGUUGAGGUUUGGAUUCGUCAAAGAAGAGAGAGCAAAGAAAAGUCUUGCAAAUCCUCUAAAGGUGUGAUUCUGAAGGUGAUCUGGACAAGGAAUCCCCCUGUACUUCCUGGAAACGGUGGUCUAGACUGUGCUCUAACCCAGGUGGAUCUUUUUCAGAGACUUCAUCUGCCGACUUCUGGGAGCGCCCCAUCCACCAAGCAUCCACACAGCUGCGGAGCUGCGGUCUCAGAUGUCAGCGGAAGCCUACGCACGGAAGCGACGGCAGGCUGAAUUCCAAAACUCCAGUUGGCUUGGCUUCUCCCAGACUAUUGGAGGAAUGAAGGCUGCAGUGAGAGAAGACUUUCGCUCCAGAUCAUGCGGCAAGAGAUGGACAAAGAAACCGGCAGUGCCCCCUCCAGCCGAGGAUCCAGGAGAUGAGGAGAAGCACCAGAGCAGCAAGGAAGAGGCCUGACUGUCCCGACCACCCCGGCACCCACCAAAGCCGAACCUGAACCGAGCCGGCCAGGGAGAUCAGGGUAGCCGUCGGG